AUGAUUUAUAUACACUGCAAGAAUUUUCUCCUGGAAAUACAAGCAGAAUUUAUAACAGAUUCUGCAGAGUACUCGGAGCAUCCUGUGGGGCCUUCAGUGUCCUGUUAUCAUAGCUGUCACCAAGAUCUCCCACUGCAGAAACUAGGAGCUCCUGAUCUCACAGGAGUUCCUUUUUCCCAGAUGCUAUCCCAGCUACAUGCGCAGAGGAUCUUCUUCUGUUAUAGAGAUGCCAGAAGUCAAACAAGCCACUACUGUGACCAAAGUAACUUCAAAUUAAUAAAUAAAUCAAGAUCCCCAGUGCUCAGUCCUUUAAAGGAGACGUAAAGCCGUGGAAAGUUAAACUGAGGGUAAAACUUUGUAUCAAAGGGAAGCAGGUAAUACAAAAUGUCAGUGAAUUGGUUUAAAAAUGGCCCUUGAUAAAAAAGGAAAUGGUCUGUCAAGUGCAACUUUGAAGAAGCACGUUUUUCC
rnacentral:lncRNA from 1 species